rnacentral:rRNA from 1 species
GACGAACGCUGGCGGCGUGCUUAACACAUGCAAGUCGAACGGUGACAUCAGUGCUUGCACUGGUUGAUCAGUGGCGAACGGGUGAGUAACACGUGAGCAACCUACCCUCAACUCUGGGAUAGCCCUGGGAAACUGGGAUUAAUACCGGAUACGACGCAUCGGGGCAUCUCGUGUGCGUGGAAAGAAUUUUGGUUGGGGAUGGGCUCGCGGCCUAUCAGCUAGUUGGUGAGGUAACGGCCCACCAAGGCGACGACGGGUAGCCGGCCUGAGAGGGCGACCGGCCACACUGGGACUGAGACACGGCCCAGACUCCUACGGGAGGCAGCAGUGGGGAAUAUUGCGCAAUGGGCGAAAGCCUGACGCAGCGACGCCGCGUGAGGGAUGAAGGCCUUCGGGUUGUAAACCUCUUUCAGCAGGGAAGAAGCGAAAGUGACGGUACCUGCAGAAGAAGCACCGGCUAACUACGUGCCAGCCGCCGCAGUAAUAC